rnacentral:rRNA from 1 species
UGGGGAAUAUUGGACAAUGGGCGCAAGCCUGAUCCAGCGACGCCGCGUGUGUGAAGAAGGCCUGCGGGUUGUAAAGCACUUUCGAUGGGAACGAAAUGUGCCGGGUUAAUACCCCGGUAAGCUGACGUUACUCAAUGAAGAAGCACCGGCUAACUCUGUGCCAGCAGCCGCGGUAAUACAGAGGGUGCGAGCGUUAAUCGGAAUUACUGGGCGUAAAGCGCACGUAGGUGGCGACGUAAGUCGGGUGUGAAAGCCCCGGGCUCAACCUGGGAAUUGCAUUCGAGACUGCAUUGCUGGAGUACGGAAGAGGAGGGCGGAAUUCCCGGUGUAGCGGUGAAAUGCGUAGAUAUCUGGAGGAAUACCGGUGGCGAAGGCGGCAUCCUGGACCAUUACUGACGCUGAGGCGCGAAAGCUAGGGGAGCAAACGGGAUUAGAUACCCGCGUAGUCCCUGAGCGGGCUGGCAAGGCGCAU